GACGCACGCUGGCGGCAGGCCUAACACAUGAAAGUCGAGCGGAGCGGCGGACGGGUGAGUAAUUCCUAGGAAUCUGCCUGGUAGUGGGGGAUAACGUCCGGAAACGGGAGCUAAUACCGCAUACUAUCAGAUGAGCCUAUUUCGGAUUAGCUAGUUGGUGGGGUAAAGGCCUACCAAGGGGACGAUACGUAACUGGUCUGAGAGGUGGAUCAGUCACACUGGAAGUGAGACACUGUCCAGACUCCUACGGGAGGCAGCAGGAGGGAAUAUUGGACAAUGGGCGAAAGCCUGAUCCAGCCAGGCCGCGUGUGUGAAGAAGGUCUUCGGAUUGUAAAGCACUUUAAGUUGGGAAGCGUUACCUACAUAAUAAGCACCGGCUAACUUCGUGCCAGCAGCCGCGGUAAUUC
rnacentral:rRNA from 1 species